rnacentral:rRNA from 1 species
ACGUAGGUGGCAAGCGUUGUCCGGAAUUAUUGGGCGUAAAGCGCGCGCAGGCGGUUUCUUAAGUCUGAUGUGAAAGCCCACGGCUCAACCGUGGAGGGUCAUUGGAAACUGGGAGACUUGAGUGCAGAAGAGAAGAGCGGAAUUCCACGUGUAGCGGUGAAAUGCGUAGAGAUGUGGAGGAACACCGAUGGCGAAGGCAGCCCCCUGGGUCGACACUGACGCUCAGGCACGAAAGCGUGGGGAGCAAACAGGA